ensembl:lncRNA
UACAAGUCCCAGGGGGCACAACGAGACCGCCUGGAGGGCGGGGGGUACGAAAGAGGAACUCGAAGGGCGCGGGGUUGUUAGAACAAAAGACCUAAAGAAAUCAGUGAAGACAUAGAGGGUCUGAACGGUACUCCUGGAGUCUUGACCUGAGUGGUGUUUGUAGAGCCACACCCAUCAGAAGCAGAACACAGAUUCCUUCAAGUGCAUGUUCUCUAACGUAGACCAAAUGCUGUGCCCUGAAACAAGCUUCCAGGAAAAGUAAAGAAGUAAAGCUGCACUUAUUUGCCUAGGACAUGAUUAUUUACAUAGAAGAUGCUAAGAAAUCUGAAAAAGUGCUUAGGAUGGAAAAAAGCAAGAACCAUUAGAGAAAAAAUGGGUGCAGUUAAUUUUAUGAAAAUGAAACAUUUGUUCUUCUAAAGAGACCCAUAAGAAAAUGAAAAGACAAGUCACAGAAUGGGAGAAAUGUCUGCAGUACACAUACCCGGCAAAGGACAUGUGAAGAGCUAGCACGUAAUAACAGAAAGACAGCUCAGCCGAACACGGUGGCCCAGAGAUGUGAGUAGACUCAUCACAAGAGAUGUAAGGAGUGUGAGUGGCCCACAAGCAGGACAGAGGUGCUGACCAUAUCUAGUUGCAGAAACAGAUGGGAACAGAGGAGAACCGCCACCCACCUGCCAGUGUGUGAUCACGACCUGGUGUGGCCGGAGCAGGUGAGGCGCUCGGAGCUGCAGAGGCUGCAUGUGGAGCCAUGGCCGGAGAACAGCUGGGCAUUAGCUUCUCAGAGUUACCUUGGCCCAGUGCUUCCAGAUGUUGACCCAAGAAGGAAGACAAGUGACCAUGCAGGAACAGGCCCAAGAAUGUCCCCGGCAGCGUUAGCCAAAAUGCGGAAACACCCAUGUGGCCAUUGGCAGGGAGUGGGCAGGGGAAGCGUCCUUACAGUGGAUGCCACUGAGUCACAAGAGGGCAAAGUACAGAGGAAUUCAAAGAUCCCCGUGGCCAUGCUGAUGGGCAGGAGCCCAACCCAAGGUGCGUGGAUGGUGCGGUCUUUUCCCCUGAAAUUCCAGGAGACACAGUCCACGUGUAGUGGUGGGGUCUGAGAAGGGGCAGUGUGGUGUGCACACUAUCAGUGGUGUCUGUUAAGAAGCAGAUGGAGGUGUCGGCUGAGCUGAUUCCUGAAUCAAAGGUGGCAGUGUGUGUGUGACACCAGUAGUUGCCACCGAGGGGACUUCACAUCCUAGAAAGGGGCCGGUGCCCCAGGGAAGAGCUGGUGUUUUUAAUGAGGGUACUUGACUCCAGACUAGGGGAGCACCAUCUGCUCCAUCAGCCUGGACUGAACCCAGGACAGAGCGAGCAACAGGACACACCCCUGCCUGGGACCCCUGGGCCCUGGGCCAGUGGACGGAGCCGCUCAUCAUCCCCCAGGCCCAAGUGCGCUCUUUGGGACACACCCUCCCUUGAAACUG